rnacentral:lncRNA from 1 species
CCAUAGUAGUAUGAUAGGUGUUGUUUUACAGGGUCAGCCAUAGUAGUAUGAUAGGUGUUGUUUUACAGGGUCAGCCAUAGUAGUAUGAUAGGUGUUGUUUUACAGGGUCAGCCAUAGUAGUAUGAUAGGUGUUGUUGUACAGGGUCAGUCAUAGUAGUAUGAUAGGUGUUGUUUUUACAGGGUCAGCCAUAGUAGUAUGAUAGGUGUUGUUGUACAGGGUCAGCCAUAGUAGUAUGAUAGGUGUUGUUUUACAGGGUCAGCCAUAGUAGUAUGAUAGGUGUUGUUUUACAGGGUCAGCCAUAGUAGUAUGAUAGGUGUUGUUGUACAGGGUCAGCCAUAGUAGUAUGAUAGGUGUUGUUGUACAGGGUCAGUCAUAGUAGUAUGAUAGGUGUUGUUUUACAGGGUCAGCCAUAGUAGUAUGAUAGGUGUUGUUUUAC